rnacentral:rRNA from 1 species
UACGAAGGGUGCAAACGUUGCUCGGAAUCAUUGGGCGUAAAGCGCACGUAGGCGGCUUCAAAAGUCGGAUGUGAAAUCCCGUGGCUCAACCAUGGACGUGCAUUCGAAACUGCGAAGCUUGAGUAUGGAAGAGGGUCGCGGAAUUCCCGGUGUAGAGGUGAAAUUCGUAGAUAUCGGGAGGAACACCAGUGGCGAAGGCGGCGACCUGGGCCAAUACUGACGCUGAGGUGCGAAGGCGUGGGGAGCAAACAGG